AGUGAACGCUGGCGGUAGGCCUAACACAUGCAAGUCGAACGGCAGCACAGUAAGAGCUUGCUCUUACGGGUGGCGAGUGGCGGACGGGUGAGGAAUACAUCGGAAUCUACUUUUUCGUGGGGGAUAACGUAGGGAAACUUACGCUAAUACCGCAUACGACCUACGGGUGAAAGCAGGGGAUCUUCGGACCUUGCGCGAUUGAAUGAGCCGAUGUCGGAUUAGCUAGUUGGCUGGGUAAAGGCCCACCAAGGCGACGAUCCGUAGCUGGUCUGAGAGGAUGAUCAGCCACACUGGAACUGAGACACGGUCCAGACUCCUACGGGAGGCAGCAGUGGGGAAUAUUGGACAAUGGGCGCAAGCCUGAUCCAGCCAUACCGCGUGGGUGAAGAAGGCCUUCGGGUUGUAAAGCCCUUUUGUUGGGAAAGAAAAGCAGCAGGUUAAUACCCCGCUGUUCUGACGGUACCCAAAGAAUAAGCACCGGCUAACCUCGUG
rnacentral:rRNA from 1 species